UACGAAGGUGGCAAGCGUUGUUCGGAUUUACUGGGCGUAAAGGGAGCGUAGGCGGUUCGGUAAGCCCUCCGGGAAAUCUUCCGGCUUAACCGGGAAAGGUCGGAGGGGACUGCUUUGCUAGAGGACGGGAGAGGAGCGCGGAAUUCCCGGUGUAGCGGUGAAAUGCGUAGAGAUCGGGAGGAAGGCCGGUGGCGAAGGCGGCGCUCUGGAACGUUCCUGACGCUGAGGCUCGAAAGCGUGGGGAGCAAACAGG
rnacentral:rRNA from 1 species